GAGUCAUUGGGACUCUAACUAAACCUAAAGGCGCAAUGAAAGUGAAGGUCCGCCUCGCGCGGACCGAGGGAGGAUGGGCCGGCCCUCGGGCCGACCCCGCACUCCCGGGGCGUCUCGUUCUCAUCGCGAGAAGAGGCGCACCCAGAGCGUACACGCUGGGACCCGAAAGAUGGUGAACUAUGCCUGGUCAGGACGAAGUCAGGGGAAACCCUGAUGGAGGUCCGUAGCGAUUCUGACGUGCAAAUCGAUCGUCGGAACUGGGUAUAGGGGCGAAAGACUAAUCGAACCAUCUAGUAGCUGGUUCCCUCCGAAGUUUCCCUCAGGAUAGCUGGCGCUCGCCGUCGCGAGUCUCAUUCGGUAAAGCGAAUGAUUAGAGGCAUUGGGGUCGAAACGGCCUCAACCUAUUCUCAAACUUUAAAUGGGUGAGAUCUCCGGCUUGCUUGAAAAGUGAAGCCGCGAGACUUAAAAUCGGAUCAAUGAGUGCCAAGUGGGCCACUUUUGGUAAGCAGAACUGGCGCUGUGGGAUGAACCAAACGCCGAGUUAAAGCGCCUAAAUCGACGCUUAUGGGAUACCAUGAAAGGCG
rnacentral:rRNA from 1 species